UCACACUGGAACUGAGACACCGUCCAGACUCCUACGGCAGGCAGCAGUGGGGAAUAUUGGAAAUGGGCGAGAGCCUGAUCCAGCCAUGCCGCGUGUGUGAAGAUGGUCUUCGGAUUGUAAAGCACUUUAAGUGGGAGGAAGGGCAGUAACUUAUUACGUUGCUGUCUUGACGUUACCGACAGAAUAAGCACCGGCUAACUCUGUGCCAGCAGCCGCGGUAGUACAGAGGGUGCAAGCGUUAAUCGGAAUUACUGGGCGUAAAGCGCGCGUAGGUGGUUUGUUAAGUUGGAUGUGAAAUCCCCGGCCUCAACCUGGGAACUGCAUUCAAAACUGACAAGCUAGAGUAUGGUAGAGGGUGGUGGAAUUUCCCGUGUAGCGGUGAAAUGCGUAGAUAUAGGAAGGAACACCAGUGGCGAAGGCCCACCUGGACUGAUACUGACACUGAGGUGCGAUAGCGUGGGGGAGCAAACAGGAUUGGAUACCCUGGUAGUCCACGCCGUAAACGAUGUCAACUAGCCGUUGGGAGCCUUUGAGCUCUUAGUGGCGCAGCUAACGCAUUAAGUUGACCGCCUGGGGAGUACGGCCGCAAGGUUAAAACUGAAAUGAAUUGACGGGGGCCCGCACAAGCGGUGGAGCAUGUGGUUUAAUUCGAAGCAACGCGAAGAACCUUACCAGGCCUUGACAUCCAAUGAACUUUCCAGAGAUGGAUUGGUGCCUUCGGGAACAUUGAGACAGG
rnacentral:rRNA from 1 species